rnacentral:rRNA from 1 species
UACGAAGGGGGCUAGCGUUGUUCGGAAUUACUGGGCGUAAAGCGCACGUAGGCGGACAUUUUAAGUCAGGGGGUGAAAUCCCGGGGCUCAACCCCGGAACUGCCUUUGAUACUGGGUGUCUUGAGUAUGGAAGAGGUAAGUGGAAUUGCGAGUGUAGAGGUGAAAUUCGUAGAUAUUCGCAGGAACACCAGUGGCGAAGGCGGCUUACUGGUCCAUUACUGACGCUGAGGUGCGAAAGCGUGGGGAGCAAACAGG